rnacentral:rRNA from 1 species
CCUACGGGAGGCUGCAGUGAGGAAUAUUGGUCAAUGGUCGGGAGCCUGAACCAGCCAAGCCGCGUGAGGGAUGAAGGUACAGAGUAUCGUAAACCUCUUUUGUCAGGGAACAAAGGCGGGGACGUGUCCCCGGAUGAGUGUACCUGAAGAAAAAGCAUCGGCUAACUCCGUGCCAGCAGCCGCGGUAAUACGGAGGAUGCGAGCGUUAUCCGGUUUUAUUGGGUUUAAAGGGUGCGCAGGCGGUCUGUUAAGUCAGCGGUCAAAGCCCGGGGCUCAACCCCGGCCCGCCGUUGAAACUGGCAGUCUCGAGUUGGAGAGAGGUAGGCGGAAUGCGUGGUGUAGCGGUGAAAUGCAUAGAUAUCGCGCAGAACUCCGAUUGCGAAGGCAGCAUGCCGGCUCCACACUGACGCUGGGGCACGAAAGCGUGGGUAUCGAACAGGAUUAGAUACCCGAGUAGUC